UACGAAGGGGGCUAGCGUUGCUCGGAAUGACUGGGCGUAAAGGGCGCGUAGGCGGCUCAUACAGUCAGGCGUGAAAUUCCUGGGCUCAACCUGGGGACUGCGCUUGAGACGUGUGGGCUUGAGUGGGGAAGAGGGUCGUGGAAUUCCCAGUGUAGAGGUGAAAUUCGUAGAUAUUGGGAAGAACACCGGUGGCGAAGGCGGCUCUCUGGGACGGUACUGACGCUGAGACGCGAAAGCGUGGGGAGCGAACAGG
rnacentral:rRNA from 1 species